rnacentral:rRNA from 1 species
GGCCUUGACAUACUAAGAACUUUCCAGAGAUGGAUUGGUGCCUUCGGGAACUUAGAUACAGGUGCUGCAUGGCUGUCGUCAGCUCGUGUCGUGAGAUGUUGGGUUAAGUCCGCAACGAGCGCAACCCUUUUCCUUAUUUGCCAGCGGGUAAAUGCCGGGAACUUUAAGGAUACUGCCAGUGACAAACUGGAGGAAGGCGGGGACGACGUCAAGUCAUCAUGGCCCUUACGGCCAGGGCUACACACGUGCUACAAUGGUCGGUACAAAGGGUUGCUACCUCGCGAGAGGAUGCUAAUCUCAAAAAGCCGAUCGUAGUCCGGAUCGCAGUCUGCAACUCGACUGCGUGAAGUCGGAAUCGCUAGUAAUCGCGGAUCAGAAUGCCGCGGUGAAUACGUUCCCGGGCCUUGUACACACCGCCCGUCACACCAUGGGAGUUUGUUGCACCAGAAGUAGGUAGUCUAACCGCAAGGAGGACGCUUACCACGGUGUGGCCGAUGACUGGGGUGAAGUCGUAACAAGGUAAGCGUAGAUGA